AUUGAACGCUGGCGGCAGGCCUAACACAUGCAAGUCGAGCGAGCGGCGGACGGGUGAGUAAUGUAUGGGGACUGCCCGAUAGAGGGGGAUAACUACUGGAAACGGUAGCUAAUACCGCAUACUAUCGGAUAACCCAUAUGGGAUUAGUUAGUAGGUGAGGUAAUGGCCAAACUAGGCGACGAUACCUAGCCGGUCUGAGAGGAUGAUCAGUCACACUGAGACUGAGACACGGCCCAGACUCCGACGGAGGCAGCAGUGGGGAAUAUUGCACAAUGGGCGCAAGCCUGAUGCAGCCAUGCCGCGUGUAUGAAGAAGGCCCUCGGAUUGUAAAGUACUUUCAGUCGGGAGGCGUUACCGACAGAAGAAGCACCGGCUAACUCCGUGCCAGCUGCCGCGGUAAUAC
rnacentral:rRNA from 1 species